UACGUAGGGGGCAAGCGUUGUCCGGAUUUAUUGGGCGUAAAGAGCGUGUAGGCGGCCAGGCAGGUCCGUUGUGAAAACUCGAGGCUCAACCUCGAGAUGUCGAUGGAAACCGUCUGGCUAGAGUCCGGAAGAGGAGAGUGGAAUUCCCGGUGUAGCGGUGAAAUGCGCAGAUAUCGGGAAGAACACCCGUGGCGAAGGCGGCUCUCUGGAACGCAACUGACGCUGAGACGCGAAAGCGUGGGGAGCAAACAGG
rnacentral:rRNA from 1 species